rnacentral:rRNA from 2 species
CCCGGGCUCAACCUGGGAACUGCAUUCGAAACUGGCAGGCUUGAGUCUUGUAGAGGGGGGUAGAAUUCCAGGUGUAGCGGUGAAAUGCGUAGAGAUCUGGAGGAAUACCGGUGGCGAAGGCGGCCCCCUGGACAAAGACUGACGCUCAGGUGCGAAAGCGUGGGGAGCAAACAGGAUUAGAUACCCUGGUAGUCCACGCCGUAAACGAUGUCUACUUGGAGGUUGUGCCCUUGAGGCGUGGCUUCCGGAGCUAACGCGUUAAGUAGACCGCCUGGGGAGUACGGCCGCAAGGUUAAAACUCAAAUGAAUUGACGGGGGCCCGCACAAGCGGUGGAGCAUGUGGUUUAAUUCGAUGCAACGCGAAGAACCUUACCUGGUCUUGACAUCCACGGAAGUUUUCAGAGA